AACGAACGCUGGCGGCAUGCCUAACACAUGCAAGUCGAACGAGACCUUCGGGUCUAGUGGCGCACGGGUGCGUAACGCGUGGGAAUCUGCCCUUCGGUUGGGAAUAACUGAGAGAAAUUUCAGCUAAUACCUUAUAAUGUCUUCGGACCAAAGAUUUAUCGCCGAGGGAUGAGCCCGCGUAGGAUUAGGUAGUUGGUGGGGUAAUGGCCUACCAAGCCGACGAUCCUUAGCUGGUCUGAGAGGAUGAUCAGCCACACUGGGACUGAGACACGGCCCAGACUCCUACGGGAGGCAGCAGUGGGGAAUAUUGGAAAAUGGGCGAAAGCCUGAUCCAGCAAUGCCGCGUGAGUGAUGAAGGCCUUAGGGUUGUAAAGCUCUUUUACCCGGGAUGAUAAUGACAGUACCGGGAGAAUAAGCUCCGGCUAACUCCGUG
rnacentral:rRNA from 1 species